rnacentral:rRNA from 1 species
ANGNNCNACNGCCUUCNNNUUGUAAACCUCUUUUAGUAGGGAAGAAGCGAAAGUGACGGUACCUGCAGAAAAAGCACCGNCUAACUACGUGCCAGCAGCCGCGGUAAUACGUAGGGUGCAAGCGUUGUCCGGAAUUAUUGGGCGUAAAGAGCACGUAGGCGGUUUGUCGCGUCUGCUGUGAAAACCCGAGGCUCAACCUCGGGCCUGCAGUGGGUACGGGCAAACUAGAGUGCGGUAGGGGAGAAUGGAAUUCCUGGUGUAGCGGUGGAAUGCGCAGAUAUCAGGAGGAACACCGAUGGCGAAGGCAGUUCUCUGGGCCGUAACUGACGCUGAGGAGCGAAAGCGUGGGGAGCGAACAGGAUUAGAUACCCUGGUAGUCCAAGGGCGAAUUCGU